rnacentral:rRNA from 1 species
GAUGAACGCUGGCGGCGUGCCUAACACAUGCAAGUCGAGCGAACAGACGAGGAGUUUGCUCCUCUGACGUUAGCGGCGGACGGGUGAGUAACACGUGGAUAACCUACCUAUAAGACUGGGAUAACUUCGGGAAACCGGAGCUAAUACCGGAUAAUAUAUUGAACCGCAUGGUUCAAUAGUGAAAGACGGUUUUGCUGACACUUAUAGAUGGAUCCGCGCCGCAUUAGCUAGUUGGUAAGGUAACGGCUUACCAAGGCAACGAUGCGUAGCCGACCUGAGAGGGUGAUCGGCCACACUGGAACUGAGACACGGUCCAGACUCCUACGGGAGGCAGCAGUAGGGAAUCUUCCGCAAUGGGCGAAAGCUUGACGGAGCAACGCCGCGUGAGUGAUGAAGGUCUUCGGAUCGUAAAGCUCUGUUAUUAGGGAGGAACAAAUGUGUAAUUAACUAUGCACGUCUUGACGGUACCUAAUCAAAAAGCCACGGCUAACUACGUG